rfam:Toxocara canis scaffold2, whole genome shotgun sequence.
GUGGCAGUAGCUCAGUGGUAGAGCCUCGCUUCGUAUGAGGGGAGACCUAGGUUCGAUUCCCAGCUGCUUCC